rnacentral:rRNA from 1 species
CAGCAGCCGCGGGAAUACGGAGGGGGCUAGCGUUGUUCGGAAUUACUGGGCGUAAAGCGCACGUAGGCGGCUUGGUAAGUUAGAGGUGAAAGCCCGGAGCUCAACUCCGGAAUUGCCUUUAAGACUGCCGAGCUAGUAGGUGAGAGAGGUAAGUGGAAUUCCGAGUGUAGAGGUGAAAUUCGUAGAUAUUCGGAAGAACACCAGUGGCGAAGGCGGCUUACUGGCUCAUUCUAGACGCUGAGGUGCGAGAGCGUGGGGAGCAAACAGGAUUAGAGACCCCCGUAGUCCCUGUCUCUUAUAC